AAAUUGAAGAGUUUGAUCAUGGCUCAGAUUGAACGCUGGCGGCAGGCCUAACACAUGCAAGUCGAACGGUAACAGGAAGCAGCUUGCUGCUUUGCUGACGAGUGGCGGACGGGUGAGUAAUGUCUGGGAAACUGCCUGAUGGAGGGGGAUAACUACUGGAAACGGUGGCUAAUACCGCAUAACGUCGCAAGACCAAAGAGGGGGACCUUCGGGCCUCUUGCCAUCAGAUGUGCCCAGAUGGGAUUAGCUUGUUGGUGAGGUAACGGCUCACCAAGGCGACGAUCCCUAGCUGGUCUGAGAGGAUGACCAGCCACACUGGAACUGAGACACGGUCCAGACUCCUACGGGAGGCAGCAGUGGGGAAUAUUGCACAAUGGGCGCAAGCCUGAUGCAGCCAUGCCGCGUGUAUGAAGAAGGCCUUCGGGUUGUAAAGUACUUUCAGCGGGGAGGAAGGUGUUGCGGUUAAUAACCGCAGCAAUUGACGUUACCCGCAGAAGAAGCACCGGCUAACUCCGUGCCAGCAGCCGCGGUAAUACGGAGGGUGCAAGCGUUAAUCGGAAUUACUGGGCGUAAAGCGCACGCAGGCGGUCUGUCAAGUCGGAUGUGAAAUCCCCGGGCUCAACCUGGGAACUGCAUUCGAAACUGGCAGGCUUGAGUCUUGUAGAGGGGGGUAGAAUUCCAGGUGUAGCGGUGAAAUGCGUAGAGAUCUGGAGGAAUACCGGUGGCGAAGGCGGCCCCCUGGACAAAGACUGACGCUCAGGUGCGAAAGCGUGGGGAGCAAACAGGAUUAGAUACC
rnacentral:rRNA from 2 species